ACCCUACUCUAAUAAGGCUUUUGAUAUCUUGAGCUCAUAGGUGGGAGAUAAAGUAUACAUACUUAUUGCAUAGUCAAACCAUGGAUCCAAAUAAACAAAUCAUAAGUCAAAUCAAGAUGUUAUGUGUGGCGAAUGAAUGAUAUAUGGUGAUGAUGGUGAUAACAAUGGUGAAAGUCUAAUUCUACUUUUGCUCUCUUGAGGGGAUACAUACCUUUCUUGCUCUUUUGAAACUUUUUGAGGAGAAUGAGAUGCUCUACAUUUUUUUCUUUCCUCAGGUGGGCAUUUUGUACCCCUAAUUCUACUGUCGGACACUUGUCCAUUUUUACCUCUCGUCUCACUUUUUCUUUUCUUUCGAGGUUCUGGGCACUUGCCCCUUUUUAUUUCCUCGUAUCUCUUUUUUUUAGAGCACUCAUCUCAUGAGAUAAUAUAGCAAGUGGUAGUAACCAAGGUAACUUGAGCAUUUAUUUAACAGGGGGAAAAUAGAAAUAUUUUUGCAUAUUCUCUCCCGGAUAAGGAGUAGAAUAUUUUUGGGUGGUUCUGGAGAUAGAAAUGGGUGGAUAUAUGUGGAUGCGUACUUCCGGAGUAGAAAGCAGCAUAUGUGAGUGAACGUGCA
rnacentral:lncRNA from 1 species